rnacentral:misc_RNA from 1 species
UGAACAUAUUGCAAUGGUUAAGGUGAGCAAUGUUUAUUAUUUGAUACUAGAGCAAUUUCAAAUUCUUUUGGGAUCUUCUCCAAAAUUAGGGUAGAAUAAAUUUACUGGACUGCUUAAAAUUUAAAAUUUGUUGUUACCAUAAUUGCUUCUAUGGUUUUGAAGUCUGGUAGGUCUAAAAAGAAUGCGGUGGGAUGAGGGAACACUUGUUAUAUAGUGGUUUAUUUACCAUUUGAUAAAAAAAAAGUCUUAAAUUUUGCCCUUCCUACCUUGUCUUUAUUCAGUUUUGAUUUUCUAAAAACAAGCACCUUUGUACUAAGGCAUAUGCCACACAAUCAUAUUUGCUACAAUUGUUAACAACAAUUAUUAAAUUGGACUAAUUGUUAUGAUUAAUUCAAAAUAUGG